GGGUGASUWACACGUGAGCAACCUGCCCCUGACUCYGGGAUAAGCSCUGGAAACGGCGUCUAAUACUGGAUACGAGUAGCGAUCGCAUGGUCAGUUACUGGAAAGAUUUUUUGGUUGGGGAUGGGCUCGCGGCCUAUCAGCUUGUUGGUGAGGKAAUGGCUCACCAAGGCGUCGACGGKUAGCCGGCCUGAGAGGGUGACCGGCCACACUGGGACUGARACWCGGCCCAUACUCCUMCKGGAGGCAGCWGUGGGGAAUAUUGYMCMAUGGGYGGAAGCCUGAUGCWGCWRCGCCSCKUGARGGAUGACGGCCUUCGGGUUGUAAACCUCUUUUAGCWGGGAAGAAGCGAGAGUGACGGUACCUGCAGAAAAAGCGCCGGCUAACUACGUGCCAGCAGCCGCGGUAAUACGUAGGGCGCAAGCGUUAUCCGGAAUUAUUGGGCGUAAAGAGCUCGUAGGCGGUUUGUCGCGUCUGCUGUGAAAUCCCGAGGCUCAACCUCGGGCCUGCAGUGGGUACGGGCAGACUAKAGUGCGGUAGGGGAGAUUGGAAUUCCUGGUGUASCGGUGGAAUGCGCAGAUAUCARGASGAACACCGAUGGCGAAGGCAKAUCUCUGGGCCKUAACUGACGCUGAGGAGCGAAAGGGUGGGGAGCAAACAGGCUUAGAUACCCUGGUAGUCCACCMCGUAWACGUUGGGAACUAGUUGUGGGGUCCAUUCCACGGAUUCCGUGACGYAGCUAACGCAUUAAGUUCYCCGCCUGGGGAGUACGGCCGCAAGGCUAAAACUCAAAGGAAUUGACGGRGACYCGCACAAGCGGCGGAGCAUGCRGAUUAAUUCGAUGCAACGCGAAGAACCUUACCAAGGCUWGACAUAUACGAGAACGGGCCAKAAAUGGUCAACUCUUUGGACACUCGUAAACAGGUGGUGCAUGGUUGUCGUCAGCUCGUGUCGUGAGAUGUUGGGUUAAGUCCCGCAACGAGCGCACCCUNUUYUAUGUUGCCAKCACGUAAUGGUGGGAACUCAUGGGAUACUGCCGGGGUCAACUCGSAGSAAGGUGGGGAUGACGUCAAAUCAUCAUGCCCCUUAUGUCUUGGGCUUCMSCAUGCUACAAUGGCCG
rnacentral:rRNA from 1 species